rnacentral:hammerhead_ribozyme from 1 species
AUCCAGCCGACGAGUCUCAAAUAGGACGAGACGCGCGUUUUGGAU